rnacentral:misc_RNA from 1 species
GAUGAAGAACGCAGCGAAGUGCGAUAAGUAAUGUGAAUUGCAGAAUUCAGUGAAUCAUCGAAUCUUUGAACGCACAUUGCGCCCCCUGGUAUUCCGGGGGGCAUGCCUGUCCGAGCGUCAUUACAACCCUCAAGCUCAGCUUGGUGUUGGGCCCCGCCGCCCCGGCGGGCCCUAAAGUCAGUGGCGGUGCCGUCCGGCUCCGAGCGUAGUAAUUCUUCUCGCUCUGGAGGUCCGGUCGUGUGCUCGCCAGCAACCCCCAAUUUUUUUCAGGUUGACCUCGGAUCAGGUAGGGAUACCCGCUGAACUUAAGCAUAUCAAUAAGCGGAGGA